CAGCCGCCGCGGGAAAACGAAGGGGGCUAGCGUUGUUCGGAAUUACUGGGCGUAAAGCGCACGUAGGCGGAUCGAUCAGUCAGGGGUGAAAUCCCAGGGCUCAACCCUGGAACUGCCUUUGAUACUGUCGAUCUGGAGUAUGGAAGAGGUGAGUGGAAUUCCGAGUGUAGAGGUGAAAUUCGUAGAUAUUCGGAGGAACACCAGUGACGAAGGCGGCUCACUGGUCCAUUACUGACGCUGAGGUGCGAAAGCGUGGGGAGCAAACAGGAUUAGAUACCCGAGUAGUCCCUGUCUCUUAUAU
rnacentral:rRNA from 1 species